rnacentral:rRNA from 1 species
GGUGAGUAACACGUGGGCAACCUGCCUGUAAGACUGGGAUAACUCCGGGAAACCGGGGCUAAUACCGGAUAAACUCACGCACCACAUGGUGCGAGGGUAAAAGAUGGUUUUGCCAUCACUUACAGAUGGGCCCGCGGCGCAUUAGCUAGUUGGUGGGGUAAAGGCCUACCAAGGCGACGAUGCGUAGCCGACCUGAGAGGGUGAAUCGGCCACACUGGGACUGAGACACGGCCCAANACNCCNNNGGAGNGGCAGCNNUNGGNAAUCUUCCGANNGGNGAANAAAUUUUUNACGGAANNANCGCCCGCGUGAGCGAGGAAGGNNNUCUUCGGAUCGUAAAGCUCUGUUGUUAGAGAANAACAAGUGCCAUAGGAAAUGAUGGCACCAUGACGGUACCUAACCAGAAAGCCCCGGUUAACUACGUGCCAGCAGCCGCGGUAAUACGUANGGGGCAAGCGUUGUCCGGAAUUAUUGGGCGUAAAGCGCGCGCANGCGGCUUCUUAAGUCUGAUGUGAAAGCCCGCGGCUCANCCGCGGANGGUCAUUGGAAACUGGGGAGCUUGAGUGCAGAANANGAGAGUGGAAUUCCACGUGUANCGGUGAAAUGCGUAGAGAUGUGGAGGAACACCAGUGGCGAAAGCGGCUCUCUGGUCUGUCACUGACGCUGANCGCGAAAGCGUGGGGAGCANACAGGAUUAGAUACCCUGGUAGUCCANNCC